rnacentral:ncRNA from 1 species
ACUUAUUCUCAGGGCGGGGUGAAAUUCCCCACCGGCGGUAUUCCGUUUUUUUACGGAGAGCCCGCGAGCGCUUCUUUUUUUUAAAAGAGGGUCAGCAGAUCUGGUGAAAGGCCAGAGCCGACGGUUACAGUCCGGAUGAAAGAGGAUAGGG